rnacentral:rRNA from 1 species
AGCUAACGCAUUAAGUGUACCGCCUGGGGAGUACGGUCGCAAGAUUAAAACUCAAAGGAAUAGACGGGGACCCGCACAAGCGGUGGAGCAUGUGGUUUAAUUCGAAGAUACGCGAAGAACCUUACCUGGACUUGAUAUCCUAAGAACCUUUUAGAGAUAAGAGGGUGCUAGCUUGCUAGAACUUAGAGACAGGUGCUGCACGGCUGUCGUCAGCUCGUGUCGUGAGAUGUUGGGUUAAGUCCCGCAACGAGCGCAACCCACGUAUUUAGUUGCUAACGGUUCGGCCGAGCACUCUAAAUAGACUGCCUUCGUAAGGAGGAGGAAGGUGUGGACGACGUCAAGUCAUCAUGGCCCUUAUGCCCAGGGCGACACACGUGCUACAAUGGCAUAUACAAUGAGACGCAAUACCGCGAGGUGGAGCAAAUCUAUAAAAUAUGUCCCAGUUCGGAUUGUUCUCUGCAACUCGAGAGCAUGAAGCCGGAAUCGCUAGUAAUCGUAGAUCAGCCAUGCUACGGUGAAUACGUUCCCGGGUCUUGUACUCACCGCCCGUCACACCAUGGGAGUUGAUUUCACUCGAAGCCGGAAUACUAAACUAGUUACCGUCCACAGUGGAAUCAGCGACUGGGGUGAAGUCGUAACAAGGUAACCGUAGGAGAACCUGCGGUUGGAUCACCUCCUUUCUAGA